rnacentral:lncRNA from 1 species
AUGUCCACCUCUGGACACGAGGGAGCGUUGACCUCUGGACACGAGGGAGCGUCGACCUCUGGAAAAGAGGGAGCGUCAACCUCUGGACACGAGGGAGCGUCAGCCUCUGGACACGAGGGAGCGUCAGCCUCUGGACUGGAAAGAGCGUCGACCUCUGGACCGGAAAGAGCGUCGACCUCUGGACCGGAAAGAGCGUCGACCUCUGGACCGGAAAGAGCGUCAACCUCUGGACCGGAAAGAGCAUCGACCUCUGGACCGGAAAGAGAGUCAACCUCUGGACCGGAAAGAGCGUCGACCUCUGGACCGGAAAGAGCGUCGACCUCUGGACCGGAAAGAGUGUCGACCUCUGGAGUGGAUGAGGUGUCAACCUCUGGACUGGAAAGAGCGUCAACCUCUGGAGUGGUUGAGGCGUCGACCUCAGGACAUGAGGAGGAGUCGACCACAGGACUGGAAGGGGUGUCGACUUCAGGACUGGGGGCAUCGACCUCCAUCAACUUCUGGUCCGGGGGCGUCGAUUCCUGGUCUAGAGGCGUCGACUUCUGGACCGUCGGCUUCUGGACCGUCGGCUUCUGGACCGUCAACUUCUGGUCCGGGGGCGUCAACUUCUGGUACGGGGGCAUCGGCUUCUGGACCGCCGGCAUCUGGACCAUCGGCUUCUGGACCGUCAACUUCUGGUCCGGGGGCGUCGGCUUCUGGUCCGUCGGGUUCUGGACCGUCAACUUCUGGUCCGUCAACUUCUGGUCCGUCAACUUCUGGUUCUGGUCCAGGGGCGUUGACUUCUGGUCCGUCGGCUUCUGGACCACCGGCUUCUGGACCGCCGGCCUCUGGACCACCAGCUUCUGGACCACCGGCUUCUGGAGUAGAGGAGGAGCUUCUGCAGACGGGACCACCUGGACAGGCUGUACCGGAUGGGGUGCGACCUCCAGGACCACCGCUGGAACUGGAUGCGAUGCGACCUCCGGGACCACCGCUGGAACAGAAUGCGGCGCGACCUCUGGGACCACCGCUGGAACUGGCGCUGACUGGACUGGUGGCACGGGACCUGGCGCUGACUGUACUGGUGGCACGGGACCUGGCGCUGAAUGGACUGGUGGAGCGGGACCUGGCGCUGACUGGACUGGUGGCGCGGGACCUGGUGGAGCCGGUAACUGGAAAAGCAGGUUGGAUAGAUUGUCCAGCUGGAACUCCUGGAGACUGAGGACCUGA